AGGAGUAGGGGGUGAUGAAGGUGUAGGAUUGAUUUAGGAGUAGGGGUUGAUGAAGGUGUAGGAUUGAUUCAGGAGUAGGGUGUGAUGAAGGUGUAGGAUUGAUUUAGGAGUAGGGGUUGAUGAAGGUGUAGGAUUGAUUCAGGAGUAGGGGGUGAUGAUGAUGUCGGAUUGAUUUAGGAGUAGGGGUUGAUGAAGGUGUAGGAUUGAUUCAGGAGUAUGGGUUGAUGAAGGUGUAGGAUUGAUUCAGGAGUAGGGGGCGAUGAAGGUGUAGGAUUGAUUCAGGAGUAGGGGGUGAUGAUGAUGUAGGAUUGAUUUAGGAGUAGGGGGCGAUGAAGGUGUAAGAUUGAUUCAGGAGUAUGGAGUGAUGAAGGUGUAGGACUGAUUUAGGAGUAGGGGUAAUGAAGGUG